rnacentral:rRNA from 1 species
UGAGACUCGCCUACAUGAAGCUGGAGUUACUAGUAAUCGCAGAUCAGAAUGCUGCGGUGAAUGCGUUCCCGGGUCUUGUACACACCGCCCGUCACACCACGGAAGUUGGGGGCGCCCGAAGCCACUUAGCUAACCCUUUUGGGAAGCGAGUGUCGAAGGUGAAAUCAAUAACUGGGGUGAAGUCGUAACAAGGUAAC